CCUACGGGGGGCAGCAGUGGGGAAUAUUGCACAAUGGGCGAAAGCCUGAUGCAGCAACGCCGCGUGAGCGAUGAAGGCCUUCGGGUCGUAAAGCUCUGUCCUCAAGGAAGAUAAUGACGGUACUUGAGGAGGAAGCCCCGGCUAACUACGUGCCAGCAGCCGCGGUAAUACGUAGGGGGCUAGCGUUAUCCGGAAUUACUGGGCGUAAAGGGUGCGUAGGUGGUUUUUUAAGUCAGAAGUGAAAGGCUACGGCUCAACCGUAGUAAGCUUUUGAAACUAGAGAACUUGAGUGCAGGAGAGGAGAGUAGAAUUCCUAGUGUAGCGGUGAAAUGCGUAGAUAUUAGGAGGAAUACCAGUAGCGAAGGCGGCUCUCUGGACUGUAACUGACACUGAGGCACGAAAGCGUGGGGAGCAAAC
rnacentral:rRNA from 1 species